UACGUAGGGCGCAAGCGUUGUCCGGAAUUAUUGGGCGUAAAGAGCUCGUAGGCGGUUUGUCGCGUCUGCUGUGAAAUCCCGAGGCUCAACCUCGGGCCUGCAGUGGGUACGGGCAGACUAGAGUGCGGUAGGGGAGAUUGGAAUUCCUGGUGUAGCGGUGGAAUGCGCAGAUAUCAGGAGGAACACCAAUGGCGAAGGCAGAUCUCUGGGCCGUAACUGACGCUGAGGAGCGAAAGCAUGGGGAGCGAACAGG
rnacentral:rRNA from 1 species